rnacentral:misc_RNA from 1 species
AUAAUAACUUUUGUUAAAAAGUUAUAAAUAAAUUAAAAAGAAGAAGAAGAAGAAGAAGAAGGAAAAAAACAAAGAAGAAAAAAAAGAAGAAUGGUCGUGAAAUCAGAAAACACGAGGAACGGUCACGAGCUGGCUCCUCUAAACGAUGAUCGUCAACAACCACCACACAAUGUUACCAUUGUCGUUUCCGGAAAUCAAAAUGCAACUAAUGUCAAUCCAGAACCAAGACCGGAAGAUAACAGAGCUGCAUGGAGCGGGAAAAUGCAAUUCUUUCUUAGCAUCAUUGGUUAUAGUGUCGGGCUUGGAAAUAUUUGGAGGUUUCCUUAUCUGUGCCAACAGAAUGGUGGAGGUGCCUUUCUUAUACCAUUUUUCGUGAUGCUCAUCCUCGAAGGGGUACCAUUAUUUUUAAUCGAAUUGGGUCUUGGACAACGAAUGCGACAGGGUGCCCUUGGUGUUUGGAAUACGAUACACCCCUGGUUAGGUGGUAUAGGAAUAGCCUCCUGCAUUGUCACCUUCUUCGUUGCACUUUAUUACAACGUCAUUAUUACCUGGUGUUUCUUCUACCUCUUCAAUUCUCUCGAGGCAGUCACAAUUAAUUUCGGCGCACCACUGCCAUGGGCGAAGUGCCCGGAGAUCAACGAGAAACCGGUAGAAGAAUGUGUCAAGAGCUCUGAGACAGCUUACUUUUGGUACAGAACCACCCUGGAUGCGGCACCAUCAAUCGAGGAAGGAUCGUCCCUAAAAUGGUGGAUCGUUAUGUGCCUUUUGCUAAGUUGGAUCGUUGUCUUCUUUAUCGUCAUGAAGGGAAUACAAUCAUCGGGCAAGGUAGUUUAUUUUACCUCGAUGUUCCCGUACCUUGUACUCACGAUCUUCUUCAUUCGUGGGAUUACAUUGAAAGGUGCUAGUGCCGGAUUAGCUCACAUGUAUACGCCAAAGGUGGAGAAAUUAUUGGAGCCCAUGGUCUGGCUAGAUGCGGCAACACAAGUCUUCUAUAGCUUUGGAUUAGCUUUUGGUUCCUUGAUCGCAUUCGGAAGCUACAAUACACCCGACAACAAUUGCGUCAGGGACGUGAUUCUGGUGAGCGUGUGCAACGCGUUUACCGCCAUUUACGCGAGCGUUGUCAUUUUCGCCAUUUUGGGGUUCAAGGCGAUGUCGAAUGUGGACAAGUGCCUGGAAAGCAAUAAGGUAUCUCUUAUCAAGUAUGGUUUUCUCUUUGAAAAUUCAACGAUGGAGGAUUACGAAAACAUUGUUAAUACGUUCAACAGUUCGACCACUAAUUUGACCUUGGAUAGAUGCAGUUUGAGCGAACAACUUAAUAACGCUGCCGAAGGUACAGGUUUGGCAUUUAUCAUUUUCACGCAAGCUAUCGUCGAGCUUCCAGGUGCACCAUUUUGGUCUUGCAUAUUCUUCCUAAUGUUAUUGGCUCUUGGACUUGGUUCACAAAUUGGUAUAAUGGAAGGAAUGUUAUGCGUAAUAUUUGACAUUGAUCUUUUCAAGAGAAUAAAGAAACAAUAUAUAACAGGUGUAGUCUGUAUCGUGUGUUUCUUCGUUGGGCUUAUAUUCUGUACCGGUGCAGGUGAAUAUUGGUUGAAAAUGUUUGACAGUUUUGCUGGUACCAUUGGAUUAGUUAUGGUUGCACUUAUGGAAAUGAUUUCCGUAAUCUUUGUCUAUGGUCACGAAAAAUUCACGAAAGACAUUGAAGAAAUGACAGGCUACAAGCCAGGUAUUUAUUGGCAAGUAACAUGGAGAUUUCUUGCUCCUAUAAUCAUGGUUUGCAUACUAAUAUCUAGUAUUGCUUCUAUGUUUAUCAAGAAACCAGAAUAUUCAGCAUGGAAUGCGACACAGGGUGUAACAGUAUCAAUGCCUUAUCCAGGCUGGGUUCUAGCAAUAGCAGCUUGCAUCAUUUUUGCUGGUAUUGCACCAAUACCAAUAGUUUUUCUACUUAGAGUAUUCCAAUGUGUGAAACUCGACGUGGAUAUUCAUCAGGGUAGCAUUCGUCGUAUCGACACUACUGUAUCAACUAAAGAAAUGAUGGGUGACGUUGAUUUAUAGGUAAGCUUCCUCUAUGUCUCUGUGGUCGGCUAAAUCGAUAUCUCCCCCCGUAGCUGCAUCACAUUUGGACGAGUAUCACGAUAGAUUAGAAGAUUUUCCCGAAGAAGACGAGGAUAUUAACAGCGACGACGACAACAAUAGUGCACCGCCUAUAUCCAAAAUGGUUCCCAAUAAGCUUCAGGGUAGAGCUUUUAAAAUGGAAGCUAUGGAAUUUUGAACGUUUCAUC